GCUUGUGGUGUUCUUUCUAAAAGCAACACUUGGGUUAUGCUCAUGCUUUUACUAGUCCAUUGGCUGACAAAAGCAUAACCUUUGCCUUUGAACAUAGAACCACACAACAAGUUGCUCGAUAGUGUAUUGGGUAUUGAACUUAUCACAAGUACUUUUUAUUUAUUUUUAUUGGUUUCAAGUGGUUUGUGGUUAUUCCCUGUUCUUUAGAUACAUCCAGCCCUUCAUUGUUGUGCCACAAUACGCUACUUAUAUGGAUCUAUUGGCUAAAGCUCCUGUAGCAUUGGAUUCUAUAGAACUCAAAUGUGAAACAUGUCUUGCAGAUCCCAGUUGCUGUGGGAGUGUCCUUGUAUGAGGCCGUUAGUCUGUACAAGGGACGGAGAGUGAUUGCCUCCAGGUUACUGGUGAGACUGUUGGAAAAGUGAGAGCUGUAUCCGACAUGCACCGGAGAAAAGCUGAGAUGGCUCGUCAUCACAAAAUGAUGCCUUCAUUGCCCUUCAUGGAGUAUGUUCGGGAAUAUGAUGAGAUUACAUCCAAGUUGAUAUGAGAGGUGGAAAGACUAAGUUAUGUUCUUGAAUCAAACCCUAAUUAUUGUAUAUCCUUUUUUGGCUAAAAAACAAUUAUAGCUAAGGCUACCAUACAUAUCUAUUAUAUCCACCAAGAUCAUUGAUCAUGUCUUUUUUUGGUACAAGUUUCUUAUACAUGUACAUGUUAAAUACAGUUUCAGACUUUGUUUUUGUGUGAAGAAAAUAUUGAAUGAAAAUUGCUCAGUUUUGUC